GGCUCGGUAGCUUAAUUGGUAAAGCACUCGUCUAGCAUACAAGAGUCGUGGGUUCGAAUCCCAUCUGAGCAC
rnacentral:tRNA from 1 species